rnacentral:rRNA from 1 species
GAUGAACGCUGGCGGCGUGCCUAAUACAUGCAAGUCGAGCGAACAGACGAGGAGCUUGCUCCCCUGACGUUAGCGGCGGACGGGUGAGUAACACGUGGAUAACCUACCUAUAAGACUGGGAUAACUUCGGGAAACCGGAGCUAAUACCGGAUAAUAUAUUGAACCGCAUGGUUCAAUAGUGAAAGACGGUUUUGCUGUCACUUAUAGAUGGAUCCGCGCCGCAUUAGCUAGUUGGUAAGGUAACGGCUUACCAAGGCAACGAUGCGUAGCCGACCUGAGAGGGUGAUCGGCCACACUGGAACUGAGACACGGUCCAGACUCCUACGGGAGGCAGCAGUAGGGAAUCUUCCGCAAUGGGCGAAAGCUUGACGGAGCAACGCCGCGUGAGUGAUGAAGGUCUUCGGAACGUAAAACUCUGUUAUUAGGGAAGAACAAAUGUGUAAGUAACUAUGCACGUCUUGACGGUACCUAAUCAGAAAGCCACGGCUAACUACGUG